rnacentral:rRNA from 1 species
AGAGUUUGAUCCUGGCUCAGGAUGAACGCUAGCGGCAGCCCUAACACAUGCAAGUCGAACGGUAACAGGGAUUGCUUGCAAUCCGCUGACGAGUGGCGCACGGGUGCGUAACGCGUAUGCAAUCUGCCUAUAACUGAGAGAUAGCCCAGAGAAAUUUGGAUUAAUACCUCAUAAUAUUGUUUUUUGGCAUCACUAAACAAUUAAAACUUCGGUGGUUAUAGAUGAGCAUGCGUCCUAUUAGCUUGUUGGUAAGGUAACGGCUUACCAAGGCAACGAUAGUUAGGGGGCCUGAAAGGGUGAUCCCCCACACUGGUACUGAGACACGGACCAGACUCCUACGGGAGGCAGCAGUGAGGAAUAUUGCGCAAUGGAGGAAACUCUGACGCAGCCAUGCCGCGUGCAGGAAGACGGCCCUACGGGUUGUAAACUGCUUUUAUAUAGGAAGAAACCCCGAUACGUGUAUCGGCUUGACGGUACUAUAUGAAUAAGGACCGGCUAACUCCGUGCCAGCAGCCGCGGUAAUACGGAGGGUCCAAGCGUUAUCCGGAUUUACUAGGUUUAAAGGGUCCGCAGGCGGGAUAUUAAGUCAGUGGUGAAAGCCUACAGCUCAACUGUAGAACUGCCAUUGAUACUGAUAUUCUUGAGUGUGGUUGAAGUAGGCGGAACAUGUCAUGUAGCGGUGAAAUGCAUAGAUAUGACAUAGAACACCAAUUGCGAAGGCAGCUUACUAAGCCAUUACUGACGCUGAGGGACGAAAGCGUGGGGAGCGAACAGGAUUAGAUACCCUGGUAGUCCAUGCCGUAAACGAUGAUCACUCGUUGCUAGCGAUACACUGUUAGUGACCAAGCGAAAGUGUUAAGUGAUCCACCUGGGAAGUACGUUCGCAAGAAUGAAACUCAAAGGAAUUGACGGGGGCCCGCACAAGCGGUGGAGCAUGUGGUUUAAUUCGAUGAUACGCGAGGAACCUUACCAGGGCUUAAAUGCAGAAUGACAGAUUGGGAAACCAGUCCUUCUUCGGACAUUUUGCAAGAUGCUGCAUGGUUGUCGUCAGCUCGUGCCGUGAGGUGUCAGGUUAAGUCCUAUAACGAGCGCAGCCCCUAUCAUUAGUUGCCAGCGGGUAAUGCCGGGAACUCUAAUGAGACUGCCAGCGCAAGCUGCGAGGAAGGUGGGGAUGACGUCAAAUCAUCACGGCCCUUACGUCCUGGGCUACACACGUGCUACAAUGGUUGGGACAAUGGGCAGCCACUACGCGAGUAGGAGCUAAUCCUCAAACCCAAUCUCAGUUCGGAUCGGAGUCUGCAACUCGACUCCGUGAAGCUGGAAUCGCUAGUAAUCAGAUAUCAGCAAUGAUCUGGUGAAUACGUUCCCGGGCCUUGUACACACCGCCCGUCAAGCCAUGGAAGCUGGGAGUGCCUGAAGUCGGUAACCGUAAGGAA